rnacentral:rRNA from 1 species
GGGGAAUAUUGGACAAUGGGCGCAAGCCUGAUCCAGCCAUGCCGCGUGGGUGAAGAAGGCCUUCGGGUUGUAAAGCCCUUUUGAUGGGAAAGAAAAGCAGCCGGCCAAUACCCGGUUGUUCUGACGGUACCCAAAGAAUAAGCACCGGCUAACUUCGUGCCAGCAGCCGCGGUAAUACGAAGGGUGCAAGCGUUACUCGGAAUUACUGGGCGUAAAGCGUGCGUAGGUGGUGGUUUAAGUCCGUUGUGAAAGCCCUGGGCUCAACCUGGGAACUGCAGGGGAUAAUGGAUCACUAGAGGGGGGCAGAGGGUAGGGGAAUUCCCGGUGUAGGAGUGAAAUGCGGAGAAAUCGGGAGGAACAUCAGGGGCGAAGGCGACUGCCUGGGCCAACACUGACACUGAGGCACGAAAGCGUGGGGAGCAAACA